rnacentral:hammerhead_ribozyme from 1 species
AUUUAGUUGAUGAGUUCGAAAUAGGAAGAAACGCACGUCCUGGAU